ACAUCACAGGGACCGUCAGUCUACCAAGCAAUAUCACCCGCUCAGUAGAAGAUCUUCCCUUUGUCGU
rnacentral:pre_miRNA from 1 species